rnacentral:lncRNA from 1 species
AGUGAUCCCAGGAAUGGUGGCACAACCUUCAACCUUAGCUCUCAGGAGGCUGAGGCAGUAGGUCUCUGUAAGUUCGAAGCCAGCGGGAUCUACACAGAGAGCUCCAAGUCAGCCAAGGCUACACAUAGAAACAUUGUUCCAAACAAAAAACAAACUCCAGGACAAGGCUGUGAAUUUGUGAGGCAGAAUCUACAAGCAAUGAAUGAGUGGAGAGCCCAUGCAGCUAAGAAAUUUGUUCCAUGCCCCACAGCUUGUGACUGUGGGACUCUGUGGACAUGAAGCCUGGCUUGUAACUUCACACCUUCAUUGGGGUAGCAAGCUGGUCUGAAGCUCAAGACCACAUGAAGCCCUACAGAGUCUGCUUCUCCCUGCUUCCUGUUCCUCUACACCGCUGGCUCUGUCUCAGUUUCCCACCUGGACACCAGCAUGACUUUCAGACAGCAGUCACUCUGACUCUGGAGCCCAACUGAGACUGAUCAGAUCAAUCGGCUUUCAGAAAUGGGGAUGUGACAAGUGACGCCAGCUAAACCUCCUCUAGCGACUGCGCCACGCGCAUGGAAAGAUACACUGUAGAGCGAGGGGGACAGAGUUACGCCCGGGCUCUCUGGAUGGCAGCUUUGGACUUGGGUGACAAUAAACUUGCCAGAUG